GAAGGUUACUAAGACUGGAUAGGAAACAAAAAGGCAUCUUUUUGUUUUUAAAAGACCUUCUUACGAAGGUAUGCUUAAAGAGGGGCUUGCGCCACAUUAGUUAGUUGGUAGAGUAAAAGCCUACCAAGACGAUGAUGUGUAGCUGGACUGAGAGGUUGAACAGCCACAUUGGGACUGAGACACGGCCCAAACUCCUACGGGAGGCAGCAGUAGGGAAUUUUCGGCAAUGGAGGAAACUCUGACCGAGCAACGCCGCGUGAACGAUGAAGUAUUUCGGUAUGUAAAGUUCUUUUAUUGAAGAAGAAAAAGUAGUGGAAAAACUAUAUUGACGUUAUUCAAUGAAUAAGCCCCGGCUAACUAUGUGCCAGCAGCCGCGGUAAGACAUAGGGGGCGAGCGUUAUCCGGAAUUAUUGGGCGUAAAGGGUGCGUAGGCUGUUAGAUAAGUCUAUAAUUUAAUUUCAGUGCUUAACGCUGUCUUGUUAUAGAAACUGUCUUGACUAGAGUGAGAUAGAGGCAAGCGGAAUUCCAUGUGUAGCGGUAAAAUGUGUAAAUAUAUGGAGGAACACCAGAAGCGUAGGCGGCUUGCUGGGUCUUUACUGACGCUGAGGCACGAAAGCGUGGGUAGCAAACAGGAUUAGAUACCCUGGUAGUCCACGCCGUAAACGAUGAGUACUAAGUGUCGGGGUAAAACUCGGUACUGAAGUUAACACAUUAAGUACUCCGCCUGAGUAGUACGUACGCAAGUAUGAAACUUAAAGGAAUUGACGGGACUCCGCACAAGCGGUGGAUCAUGUUGUUUAAUUCGAAGAUACACGAAAAAUCUUACCAGGUCUUGACAUACUCUGCAAAGCUAUAGAAAUAUAGUGGAGGUUAUCAGGGAUACAGGUGGUGCAUGGUUGUCGUCAGUUCGUGUCGUGAGAUGUUAGGUUAAGUCCUAAAACGAACGCAACCCUUGUCGUUAAUUGCCAGCACAUAAUGGUGGGGACUUUAACGAGACUGCCAAUUAAACAUUGGAGGAAGGUGAGGAUUACGUCAAAUCAUCAUGCCCCUUAUGAUCUGGGCUACAAACGUGAUACAAUGGCUGUGACAAAGAGUAGCUGAAACGCGAGUUUUUAGCCAAUCUCAAAAAAGCAGUCUCAGUUCGGAUUGAAGUCUGUAACUCGACUUCAUGAAGUUGGAAUCGCUAGUAAUCGCGAAUCAGCAUGUCGCGGUGAAUACGUUCUCGGGGUUUGUACACACCGCCCGUCAA
rnacentral:rRNA from 1 species